rnacentral:rRNA from 1 species
AGUGGUUGAAAGUGAGAUAGAUCUCAGAAGCUAAGCAGGGUCUGGCCUAGUUAGUACUUGGAUGGGAGACCACCUAGGAAGACCAGGUGCUGUAGGAG